GUCAACCAGUCGGCGCCCCGAACCUGCCGUGGUUUCAGCUUCCCAAGCUGAAUACGCGGGUUCGAUUCCCGUCAUCGACU
rnacentral:tRNA from 1 species